CUUCCGUAGGUGAACCUGCGGAAGGAUCAUUAAAUAAUCAAUAAUCUUGGCUUGUCCAUUAUUAUCUAUUUACUGUGAACUGUAUUAUUAUUUGACAUUUGAGGGAUGUUCCAAUGUUAUAAGGAUAGACAUUGGAAAUGUUAACCGAGUCAUAAUCAGGUUUAGGCCUGGUAUCCUAUUAUUAUUUACCAAAUGAAUUCAGAAUUAAUAUUGUAACAUAGACCUAAAAAAUCUAUAAAACAACUUUUAACAACGGAUCUCUUGGUUCUCGCAUCGAUGAAGAACGUAGCAAAGUGCGAUAACUAGUGUGAAUUGCAUAUUCAGUGAAUCAUCGAGUCUUUGAACGCAACUUGCGCUCAUUGGUAUUCCAAUGAGCACGCCUGUUUCAGUAUCAAAACAAACCCUCUAUC
rnacentral:misc_RNA from 1 species